GGGUUGUGAGGUUAAGCGACUAAGCGUACACGGUGGAUGCCCUGGCAGUCAGAGGCGAUGAAGGACGUGCUAAUCUGCGAUAAGCGUCGGUAAGGUGAUAUGAACCGUUAUAACCGGCGAUUUCCGAAUGGGGAAACCCAGUGUGUUUCGACACACUAUCAUUAACUGAAUCCAUAGGUUAAUGAGGCGAACCGGGGGAACUGAAACAUCUAAGUACCCCGAGGAAAAGAAAUCAACCGAGAUUCCCCCAGUAGCGGCGAGCGAACGGGGAGCAGCCCAGAGCCUGAAUCAGUGUGUGUGUUAGUGGAAGCGUCUGGAAAGGCGCGCGAUACAGGGUGACAGCCCCGUACACAAAAAUGCACAUGCUGUGAGCUCGAUGAGUAGGGCGGGACACGUGGUAUCCUGUCUGAAUAUGGGGACCAUCCUCCAAGGCUAAAUACUCCUGACUGACCGAUAGUGAACCAGUACCGUGAGGGAAAGGCGAAAAGAACCCCGGCGAGGGGAGUGAAAAAGAACCUGAAACCGUGUACGUACAAGCAGUGGGAGCACGCUUAGGCGUGUGACUGCGUACCUUUGUAUAAUGGGUCAGCGACUUAUAUUCUGUAGCAAGGUUAACCGAAUAGGGGAGCCGAAGGGAAACCGAGUCUUAACUGGGCGUUAAGUUGCAGGGUAUAGACCCGAAACCCGGUGAUCUAGCCAUGGGCAGGUUGAAGGUUGGGUAACACUAACUGGAGGACCGAACCGACUAAUGUUGAAAAAUUAGCGGAUGACUUGUGGCUGGGGUGAAAGGCCAAUCAAACCGGGAGAUAGCUGGUUCUCCCCGAAAGCUAUUUAGGUAGCGCCUCGUGAAUUCAUCUCCGGGGUAGAGCACUGUUUCGGCAAGGGGUCAUCCCGACUUACCAACCCGAUGCAAACUGCGAAUACCGGAGAAUGUUAUCACGGGAGACACACGGCGGGUGCUAACGUCCGUCGUGAAGAGGGAAACAACCCAGACCGCCAGCUAAGGUCCCAAAGUCAUGGUUAAGUGGGAAACGAUGUGGGAAGGCCCAGACAGCCAGGAUGUUGGCUUAGAAGCAGCCAUCAUUUAAAAGAAAGCGUAAUAGCUCACUGGUCGAGUCGGCCUGCGCGGAAGAUGUAACGGGGCUAAACCAUGCACCGAAGCUGCGGCAGCGACGCUUAUGCGUUGUUGGGUAGGGAGCGUUCUGUAAGCCUGUGAAGGUGUGCUGUGAGGCAUGCUGGAGGUAUCAGAAGUGCGAAUGCUGACAUAAGUAACGAUAAAGCGGGUGAAAAGCCCGCUCGCCGGAAGACCAAGGGUUCCUGUCCAACGUUAAUCGGGGCAGGGUGAGUCGACCCCUAAGGCGAGGCCGAAAGGCGUAGUCGAUGGGAAACAGGUUAAUAUUCCUGUACUUGGUGUUACUGCGAAGGGGGGACGGAGAAGGCUAUGUUGGCCGGGCGACGGUUGUCCCGGUUUAAGCGUGUAGGCUGGUUUUCCAGGCAAAUCCGGAAAAUCAAGGCUGAGGCGUGAUGACGAGGCACUACGGUGCUGAAGCAACAAAUGCCCUGCUUCGGGGAAAAACCUCUAAGCAUCAGGUAACAUCAAAUCGUACCCCAAACCGACACAGGUGGUCAGGUAGAGAAUACCAAGGCGCUUGAGAGAACUCGGGUGAAGGAACUAGGCAAAAUGGUGCCGUAACUUCGGGAGAAGGCACGCUGAUAUGUAGGUGAAGUCCCUCGCGGAUGGAGCUGAAAUCAGUCGAAGAUACCAGCUGGCUGCAACUGUUUAUUAAAAACACAGCACUGUGCAAACACGAAAGUGGACGUAUACGGUGUGACGCCUGCCCGGUGCCGGAAGGUUAAUUGAUGGGGUCAGCGCAAGCGAAGCUCUUGAUCGAAGCCCCGGUAAACGGCGGCCGUAACUAUAACGGUCCUAAGGUAGCGAAAUUCCUUGUCGGGUAAGUUCCGACCUGCACGAAUGGCGUAAUGAUGGCGGGCUGUCUCCACCCGAGACUCAGUGAAAUUGAACUCGCUGUGAAGAUGCAGUGUACCCGCGGCAAGACGGAAAGACCCCGUGAACCUUUACUAUAGCUUGACACUGAACAUUGAGCCUUGAUGUGUAGGAUAGGUGGGAGGCUUAGAAGUGUGGACGCCAGUCUGCAUGGAGCCGACCUUGAAAUACCACCCUUUAAUGUUUGAUGUUCUAACGUUGACCCGUAAUCCGGGUUGCGGACAGUGUCUGGUGGGUAGUUUGACUGGGGCGGUCUCCUCCUAAAGAGUAACGGAGGAGCACGAAGGUUGGCUAAUCCUGGUCGGACAUCAGGAGGUUAGUGCAAUGGCAUAAGCCAGCUUGACUGCGAGCGUGACGGCGCGAGCAGGUGCGAAAGCAGGUCAUAGUGAUCCGGUGGUUCUGAAUGGAAGGGCCAUCGCUCAACGGAUAAAAGGUACUCCGGGGAUAACAGGCUGAUACCGCCCAAGAGUUCAUAUCGACGGCGGUGUUUGGCACCUCGAUGUCGGCUCAUCACAUCCUGGGGCUGAAGUAGGUCCCAAGGGUAUGGCUGUUCGCCAUUUAAAGUGGUACGCGAGCUGGGUUUAGAACGUCGUGAGACAGUUCGGUCCCUAUCUGCCGUGGGCGCUGGAGAACUGAGGGGGCUGCUCCUAGUACGAGAGGACCGGAGUGGACGCAUCACUGGUGUUCGUUGUCAUGCCAAUGGCACUGCCCGGUAGCUAAAUGCGGAAGAGAUAAGUGCUGAAAGCAUCUAAGCACGAAACUUGCCCCGAGAUGAGUUCUCCCUGACUCCUUGAGAGUCCUGAAGGAACGUUGAAGACGACGACGUUGAUAGGCCGGGUGUGUAAGCGCAGCGAUGCGUUGAGCUAACCGGUACUAAUGAACCGUGAGGCUUAACCUUACAACGCCGAAGCUGUU
rnacentral:rRNA from 1 species